rnacentral:rRNA from 1 species
UCCACGCCGUAAACGAUGAGUGCUAGCUGUAGGGAGCUAUAAGUUCUCUGUAGCGCAGCUAACGCAUUAAGCACUCCGCCUGGGGAGUACGACCGCAAGGUUGAAACUCAAAGGAAUUGACGGGGGCCCGCACAAGCGGUGGAGCAUGUGGUUUAAUUCGAAGCAACGCGAAGAACCUUACCAGGUCUUGACAUACUCGUGCUAUCCUUAGAGAUAAGGAGUUCCUUCGGGACACGGGAUACAGGUGGUGCAUGGUUGUCGUCAGCUCGUGUCGUGAGAUGUUGGGUUAAGUCCCGCAACGAGCGCAACCCUUAUUACUAGUUGCCAUCAUUAAGUUGGGCACUCUAGUGAGACUGCCGGUGAUAAACCGGAGGAAGGUGGGGAUGACGUCAAAUCAUCAUGCCCCUUAUGACCUGGGCUACACACGUGCUACAAUGGAUGGUACAACGAGUCGCCAACCCGCGAGGGUGCGCUAAUCUCUUAAAACCAUUCUCAGUUCGGAUUGCAGGCUGCAACUCGCCUGCAUGAAGUCGGAAUCGCUAGUAAUCGCGGAUCAGCACGCCGCGGUGAAUACGUUCCCGGGCCUUGUACACACCGCCCGUCACACCACGGAAGUUGGGAGUACCCAAAGUAGGUUGCCUAACCGCAAGGAGGGCGCUUCCUAAGGUAAGACCGAUGACUGGGGGAA